AAAAAAGAAAAAAGGAGAAAAGGAAAAAGAGCUGCAUACCUGGCAGGCCUACUGUGUGCAAAGCCCUUGAGUGACACACCCUAUGACCCACAGCACUGUGGCAAUCCCAGGGCCGCACCAGCUCUCUCUCCUUCCCCUCCUCAGGGCCACACCAACUGUGGGGUUCCAGCUAUCACUCUGUGCAAAGGACUCCUAACAUGGGUGUCCUCCGUCUCACCCCAUAAGCCACACUGGCCAAGGCCAGGCAGGCACCACACAUCGCGAGACACAUGCUUGGUCACUGGGCUGUGGAACAUACAGGAGCCCCGUGCUCCGGAACACGGACCACCCGACAGGAGCACGGACACAGCAGUCGGGGCGACGUGGGUGCCUCACAGAAGAGGGAAAAAGCCAGGAGGGCGGCACGUGGGCGCAAAGUUCUCAGCUUCGUUAGUCAUCAAGAAAAUGCAAACUAAAACCAAGGUAAGUGUGAGGGUUACUACUGAGUUUCAACUUGACUGGACUAAAGGAUGUGUAACUGUUCCUGGGAGCAUCUUGAGGAAGCUGCCAAAGGAGAUUCACAUUGAGUCAGUGGACGGGGAGAGGCCGACGAACCCUCCAUCUGGGGGGGCAUGAUCUCAUCAGCUGCCAGCACGGCAGAUCUGCGGAAGCACUGGACUGGCUGAGUCUUCCAGCCUCCAUCUUUCUUCCAUGCUGGAUACUUCCUGCCCUCGAACAUCAGACUCCAAGUGCUUCAGCUUUUGGGUUCUUGGACCUACACCAGUGGUUUGCCAGGGGUUCUUGGGCCUUCGGCCACAGACUGAAAGCUGCGCUGUUGGCUUCCCGACUUUUGAGGUUUGGGGACUCGGACUGGCUUCCUGGCUCCUCAGCUUGCCAACAGCCUAUUGUGGGACUUCACCUCAUGACUGUGUGAGUCAAUACUCCCAAUAAACUCCCCUCCAUAUAUACAUUUA
rnacentral:lncRNA from 10 species